AGAUCUUGCUGUAUCUGGUUCUGUUCUUGAAAAGACAUGACAAAGCUCCAACACAGAUGACAGUGAAACUACCACAUCUUGCUGUGAAGAUGUGUGUGGAAAACUUUUGGUAGUUGUUGGGGGAAUACAGGGGCGGAUUCUUCAAAGAAAGAGCUGCCGGAAGCUGUAGCUUGAGAUGUGACCAUGAACUGAUUCUCCUGUGUGGUUGAUGUUCUUGUUGCAUGCUGAAGAAAAUUCGGUUAGGCUUCAGCAGUGCUUAAAUUCUGAUCCUUUGAAGACACAUAGAACUGAAAAUGAGCAAC